rnacentral:rRNA from 1 species
GACGAACGCUGGCGGCGUGCCUAAUACAUGCAAGUCGAGCGAAGUUUUUCUGGUGCUUGCACUAGAAACACUUAGCGGCGAACGGGUGAGUAACACGUAAAGAACCUGCCUCAUAGACUGGGACAACUAUUGGAAACGAUAGCUAAUACCGGAUAACAGCAUUAACUGCAUGGUUGAUGUUUAAAAGUUGGUUUUGCUAACACUAUGAGAUGGCUUUGCGGUGCAUUAGCUAGUUGGUGGGGUAAAGGCCUACCAAGGCGACGAUGCAUAGCCGACCUGAGAGGGUGAUCGGCCACACUGGGACUGAGACACGGCCCAGACUCCUACGGGAGGCAGCAGUAGGGAAUCUUCCGCAAUGGGCGAAAGCCUGACGGAGCAACGCCGCGUGAGUGAAGAAGGAUUUCGGUUCGUAAAGCUCUGUUGUUAGGGAAGAAUGAUUGUGUAGUAACUAUACACAGUAGAGACGGUACCUAACCAGAAAGCCACGGCUAACUACGUG